rnacentral:rRNA from 1 species
GACGAACGCUGGCGGCGUGCCUAACACAUGCAAGUCGAACGGGGUUUAAUGGAAUGCGGCUUCGGCCAAAGGAAGUUAAACUUAGUGGCGAACGGGUGAGUAACGCGUGAAGAACCUGCCUUUCAGUGGGGGACAACAGUUGGAAACGACUGCUAAUACCGCAUAAUGUAUUCGGGUGGCAUCACUUGAAUACCAAAGCUUUAUGUGCUGAAAGAUGGCUUCGCGUCUGAUUAGCUAGAUGGCGGGGUAACGGCCCACCAUGGCGACGAUCAGUAGCCGGUCUGAGAGGAUGAACGGCCACAUUGGGACUGAGAUACGGCCCAGACUCCUACGGGAGGCAGCAGUGGGGAAUAUUGGGCAAUGGGGGAAACCCUGACCCAGCAAACGCCGCGUGAAGGAAGAA